rnacentral:rRNA from 1 species
CCUACGGGAGGCAGCAGUGGGGAAUAUUGCACAAUGGGGGAAACCCUGAUGCAGCGACGCCGCGUGAGUGAAGAAGUAUUUCGGUAUGUAAAGCUCUAUCAGCAGGGAAGAAAAUGACGGUACCUGAUUAAGAAGCCCCGGCUAACUACGUGCCAGCAGCCGCGGUCAUACGUAGGGGGCAAGCGUUAUCCGGAUUUACUGGGUGUAAAGGGAGCGUAGACGGCAGCGCAAGUCUGAAGUGAAAUGCCGGGGCUUAACCCCGGAACUGCUUUGGAAACUGUGCAGCUAGAGUGCAGGAGAGGGAAGUGGAAUUCCUAGUGUAGCGGUGAAAUGCGUAGAUAUUAGGAGGAACACCAGUGGCGAAGGCGGCUUACUGGACUGUAACUGACGUUGAGGCGCGAAAGCGUGGGGAGCAAACAGGAUUAGAUACCCGAGUAGUC